rnacentral:rRNA from 1 species
UACGAGGGGGGCAAGCGUUGUUCGGAAUUAUUGGGCGUAAAGGGCGCGUAGGCGGUUUGACAAGUCUGAUGUGAAAUCUAUGGGCUCAACCCAUAGCCUGCAUUAGAAACUGUCGGGCUUGAGUAUGGGAGAGGUGAGUCGAAUUUCCGGUGUAGCGGUGAAAUGCGUAGAUAUCGGAAGGAACACCUGUGGCGAAAGCGGCUCACUGGACCAUAACUGACGCUGAGGCGCGAAAGCUAGGGGAGCAAACAGG